AACGCACAUGGCGCCUGCCAGCACUCUGGCGGGCAUGCCUGUUCGAGCGUCAUCUUCACCGCUCAGGCCCGGCCUGGUGUUGGGGCUCCCGCGGCCCGUCCCGCGGGGGUCCUGAAAGGUAGUGGCGGGCCCGCUAGCGACCCUGGGCGUGGUAAAGUCGCUCGCCGACGGUGUCGCAGCGGGCUCUAGCCGGGAAACGCCGCCGUCUCCGCCCCGUCUGGGGGGAGGGGAUGGCGCCCUUCGGUUGACCUCGAAUCAGGUAGGAAUACCCGCUGAACUUAA
rnacentral:misc_RNA from 1 species